rnacentral:rRNA from 1 species
AUUGAACGCUGGCGGCAGGCUUAACACAUGCAAGUCGAGCGGAGAUGAGGUGCUUGCACCUUAUCUUAGCGGCGGACGGGUGAGUAAUGCUUAGGAAUCUGCCUAUUAGUGGGGGACGACAUUCCGAAAGGAAUGCUAAUACCGCAUACGUCCUACGGGAGAAAGCAGGGGAUCUUCGGACCUUGCGCUAAUAGAUGAGCCUAAGUCGGAUUAGCUAGUUGGUGGGGUAAAGGCCUACCAAGGCGACGAUCUGUAGCGGGUCUGAGAGGAUGAGCCGCCACACUGGGACUGAGACACGGCCCAGACUCCUACGGGAGGCAGCAGUGGGGAAUAUUGGACAAUGGGGGGAACCCUGAUCCAGCCAUGCCGCGUGUGUGAAGAAGGCCUUAUGGUUGUAAAGCACUUUAAGCGAGGAGGAGGCUACUGAGACUAAUACUCUUGGAUAGUGGACGUUACUCGCAGAAUAAGCACCGGCUAACUCUGUGCCAGCCGCCGCGGUAAAAC